CGAGAGCUGGAGCGGGAGAGCAGCUACCUGCGGGCCGUGCUGGCUAACCAGAGCGCUCUCGGGCAGCUCCUGAGCCGCUUAGCCGGGAUCCGCGCCGGCGGGCUGCAGCUCAGCACCAGCCUCUUCAGGGACACGGGCAGCCCCCGCCGGCAUCACCACCCCCUCCAGCCUGCCGGCGAGAGCAGCGACCACGACUACGCCCUGCCCAGCUCCCGGCAUCCCAGCCUGGAGGAGGCGGCGGUGGUGACGGAGACGGAGGAGGAGUGGGCGGCCCCCGGCGGGAUCUGCCUCCACGUGGACCGGGAUCAGGUGUCGGUGGAGUUCUGCUCCAUCUGUGCUCGGCGAGCAGCGGCCUCCUUCAAAAUGUAGGGUCAGGUACCUGCUGCAAGUACUCGUGGGGUUCUCGCCCCUAGGGGCCUCGCGUCGUGGCGGAGGAAGCAGGCGAUGGUGCGGAGGAAAAGGAUAAAUACAGUGGUGAUGGGGUGGUAUUGGGGGAGAUGCAGAGGAGGGGAACCUGGUGCUUAAGUGGCCAGGGUAACCAAAAAAAAAAAAAAAAAUUCUCUUGAACGGCACAUUGGGAGCCAGAUGGUGGCCUUGGUUAAAGGCCGUGUAAAUCUGGCGCGUGGACGGUAGUGAUCUGAGCCUGUUUUUUGCGUAAGAGUCGUGCAGAGCUGUGUACAGCAGUGCGAUAAUUAUCGUGCAGACUGACACGCGCAUACACACGCAGAGGUGCCGCCAGAGCCCGUUUGCAGCACUUGGGUGGAAAGAUCAUGCCGACCAGACGCAUGAAGGUGUGCUUGGUUCCGCUUCGCAGUUGCCAGUAAAGAUAACACUGACUACCCGGUCUUGAGUCAGAUAAUGUCUAGCCUGCUUAUCCUGAGGAGCCGAAAAUGCUUAGAAAACCAAACCAAAAUCUUCAUUAAGACAUCGUCACUGGACAGACUUAAGAAAAUAGUAAUGAUCGGCAAAAGAAAGCAUGCAUAUAAAAUUGUACUGCAUCUCAGUUAUACAUUACUAUUAAAACCUCUCUGACAGUUUCUCUUUUAGGUGCUUGCCCUGCCAGGCUCCGUUGUGUAGGGGUUAAAGAACAGUCGUUUUCCACCUCGCAACCUGUGGAUUCAGCUGUGUUGGGGCAGAAGAGACGGGACCAGCUGCUGGCCACAUUUCCUGCUUUAUUUUAAAAGGUAGUAUAAGAAAUGAGAAUAAAGAGGUAACAGGGCUUUUGCUGUCUUUGGUUAAAAAAAAAAAAAAAAAAAGUUGAAUGCUGGGAUCAUUUACUGUCAUCCAAGAUUUUUUUUUUAAGAGACAAUAUCCUAUCAAACAGGUUUUACUCCACUGUAUACAGAAUUCCAUCUGCUCAGGGUAUAUUGCCAGCACAAAGGAGACUUAGUGGGGUAUGUGUUACCUUACACCUCUGUGGUGGCAUCAACAGGACUGUUCAAAGUUUCAGUCUUAAAACUGUGUAACCCUGCUGUAAGUGAUGGGUUACACCAGUGCCACAGGAAUCAAUGUUGACCAUUGAGACCCGUACUGGCUGAUAGAAUGAAAAUAAUUAAGUUAGAUUCAACCUAGGUUCAGUCUGCCUAGCUCAGACUUCAUGAACGUGGUUUAUUUUGAAGUUUAACAUGCCUGAUGAAAAGAGAAACGCUAAUGUAGCAAACAUGGGAUGUUAAAAUGGCAUUUUUAGGUUACUUCAUUGUAGAGGUGUUUUUUAAGUUAAUUUAAAUAUGCAUUCUUUCUUUUUGCAUCACUGCUAAAUGGUAGGGGUCAGGGACAUAGUUCUGCUCUCUUUUGUGAACCUGCACAUCGCUCUAGUCAUGAAACUACCUGUGAGCUGUGUCUGAGAGUAGCUGAUUUUCUGACAUGCAAAAUGAUAUAUACCGGUACAAGAACAAGGUCAAGUCCCAAGAAAGUAAGUGGCUGCAGGCAUUUCUAGUGCCUACUGAAUCAUAUUUAAACCAAAUAGAGGGGAGGAAGUUAUUUGAAAUUCUAACCGACUGUACUAUCUGUAUGGUGUAUUAUUAAUGUAGCUUUUUGAAGUGGAAGCCUUGAAAUGACAUAACUUAAUACUUGAAAAUAUAUUGUAAAUGUUUCUUUGUAUUAAUGUGCCAUCCAGAUAAAAAUACAAUAUCAUAAUAAAAUCAGACUUGUUGAUCUUUCA